GUAGCCACUUACCAAUUAUUGAUCAUUCUCUCUGUACUAAAGCUGUCAACACGGUCUCCUUCUACAUCUCUUCGCUUCACUUCUUUCUUAUCCCAUCUUCCCCUUAAAUCCUUACCCUAAAUUCACUCCCCCAAUCAUCAUGCUCUAACACAACAGUACCCAACAACAAAAACAAGAAAUGGUUCCUUUAUUUUUUUUCAUCCAUGUUUCUUCGCUUCAUUUUCUUCUUCAUGCUCGUCAAUGGCGAGCGGGAUUCUAUUUACGCGAUCCUAAAAGCCCAUGUACUGCCCACGGGGCUUCUUCCCGAAGGAAUUACCCGGUUUGACUUCGACAAUAAGGGUCGGUUCGAGGUUCAUUUGGAUCAGCCCGCAAGACCAAGUUUCAAAGCGAGAUUCAUUACGAUAGGAACGUGUCCGGGACUUUGAGUUACGGGCAGAUCGGGGCGUUGUCGGUUUCCAUUGUCGUUGUUUGAAUCGCCGAGGGAUUGCUUGGCGGUUCUGGAUGCUGAAUCCGGUGACUCGAUUCGGGACAUCAAAUUGUUAUCUAAAGCAAUCUCCAAGAAACGAUAUGAACUUGAUGAAGAAAGUUUUGGGA